rnacentral:rRNA from 1 species
AUUGAACGCUGGCGGCAUGCUUUACACAUGCAAGUCGAACGGUAACAGGGAGCUUGCUCCGCUGACGAGUGGCGAACGGGUGAGUAAUGCAUCGGAACGUGCCGUGUAGUGGGGGAUAACGUAGCGAAAGUUACGCUAAUACCGCAUACGCCCCGAGGGGGAAAGUGGGGGACCGCAAGGCCUCACGCUAUACGAGCGGCCGAUGUCGGAUUAGCUAGUUGGUAGGGUAAAGGCCUACCAAGGCGACGAUCCGUAGCGGGUCUGAGAGGAUGAUCCGCCACACUGGGACUGAGACACGGCCCAGACUCCUACGGGAGGCAGCAGUGGGGAAUUUUGGACAAUGGGCGCAAGCCUGAUCCAGCCAUGCCGCGUGAGUGAAGAAGGCC